rnacentral:lncRNA from 1 species
UCGCCUCUAAACAUCGCAUCUUCAUUCAUUUUUAUGCAGAUCGAGAUAUUUACUAGUCAAAACAGAGGGUAUCGUGCAGAGACAGCUGUAGUUACUUAUUGAUGGAAUAGGAAAGACUGCGUUGACAAGUAAAAACUCAGAAUCCUUAUUGUAAGUUUACUUUCUCUGAUCCAUUAUCUGCUUCGUCAUGUUUAGUAAAAUGAAAAUAUAUGGUAUAAUAUCUCUCAUGGGCACUACUUUAAGAAAUUUUUCCUUGUAAAGAUGGUAGCCUUGUGAGGAAAAAGAAGAGAGGGGAAAUAGAUGGUUUCUACUUUCUAGUGUUAUUUCUAAAAAAGACUUUGGUUUAGUCUUUAGAGCUAGAAAAUUCAGAUUGGUCAUUGCUGGUGUUUUUGACAGUUAGAUUUCUUGUAUUCCAGAGUUUUGGGCAGCAUAGGAGGGAGCUCAUAACUACAUAGAUUGCAUUGCGGAUUCUUUCCAUUUUAAGUGAAGAGGAAUUCUUAUCCAGUACAUACCCACUUAAUUUGAAUAACACGCUUGAUAAGCUUGUCAUAAAGGUAAAAUCCCAAAUUUCUCGGAGUUAAAUAAUGUGGUAAAUCGAAUGCAUAUUUAUAAUCUAUAUUGAAGUUGUAAUGAUCAGAAUAUUGAACCCUUUAAGUUGAACAGGAUCUCUAUUUGUAUUCAUCCCCUUUUCAAAUUGUUACUUAAUCUUGAGGUUCUUUCAUUGUGAACAACUGCUGAUGUUGCUGUGAUUUGUGCCCCUCUGCCCCCAAUUUACUAAACGUUUUGGCUUGGAAAUUCUCAACUACCGUUACUGAAUAUUUCGAUCAAUACAAAGUCUUUCUUAUUGGUAAAGACAGAUUGACCUUUCACACAGGCUCGUAGAGAGAGCUUGUUGUAACAUCAUUGAUUUUCCUGUUUUGCCCAACACCUACAAAUAUCUUUCUAAAAUUAAUUUACUGCAGAUUGAUGGUUGUAAGAGGAAUCUAGGUGAAAUUCGGUAAAUAAAUACAUGGUCAGAUUCUGAAGAAAGAUAUAUCAUAUACACCUUUCAUUUCUUAAGAACUUGUGAAGAUCUAUGGGAGUUGUGGUGCACUUGAGCCACGUCUCCUCAUUAUCCUCAUUCUUAGUGAUCCUAGUAGUGAUCACCAAGUUGGUGCUUAUUUAGUUAUUUCCAAGGUGCUUAUAAUUGUCUCCCUUUUGAGUUGCCAAUGAUUUACAACCUACUUGAAUCCUUUUGCAGCCUACAAGGAAGCUACACUAGAAAAUAUACCAUCUGUUGCUUGUUAUGAAACUGAUAUCAAACCCUGAGAUAUUAUCUUUUUCAUUUCUCCCCAUUUUUUGCCCUCAAAUCCUAAGAGGCUUCUGCAUCUACCCGGUUUCCUCCUAAGCGGAACUAACAUCACAUGUAACUCCGUAGUGUUUCUACAAAUUACUAAUUUGUUUUUAAUGUUUGUUACUCUGGAACUAGUAUAUCCUUAGAUAAGUGAUAAAAAUGGUAGUUUUUCUUAUGUUCACAUCCGGUGUCUUUUAUCUUUGUGACUGGUGAAACUGGAAUUGCAAAGUACUUUGGUUUUGGCUUUCUCUACAAAGAAGGUUGUUUGCAAGUGCUCGGGGAGCUACUUUGAUUUAGGUAUCUCUCUCUCUUUUCAUGUGGAUUAUUUGGCUCCUUUCCAUUACAUCCAAUCUAUAGUUACUCUCAUAGAAGUUGAGCUGAAUUACAUCUGUCUUGUCCAAGAUCCAAAGGUACAAACAAACUUAUUCAUGGUGUAGCUUUUUUACUUUAUUAUCUCGCCAAGUUGAUACUAUACAAUAGGCUUAUUGUACCUUUGUUCCUAAUAUGGAUACAUGUGGGUGUCUAUAUGCUUUUCAAGAAUUUGAAGUCCUUUUAUUAAUUUUUUUUAUAUUAUUCUUUUUACAGAUCAUGAAUUAUGUCUGAAGAACUUGUCAUGAGAGCAAGUGCUGAGAAAGUAUAAGCAAUUGAAAUGUUAAAAGAACAAGUUGAAGAAUUAGAGAGACCUACUGUUGUGUUAGUAUUUGUUUAGAAAUGUUCUCAUUUGUAAAUGCCACAAUUCUAUCUCUUUAUUAGGCCUUUAUUGGAAGAUUGUUAUGCUUUGGAUGGGUAUAUUUUUUGGUAAUGUUAUGCUUCUGUAUUUGUAAUUGACCAU